UGGGGAAUAUUGCACAAUGGAGGGAACUCUGAUGCAGCGACGCCGCGUGAACGAAGAAGGCUUUCGAGUCGUAAAGUUCUUUUAUAUGGGAAGAUAAUGACGGUACCAUAAGAAGAAGCCCCGGCUAACUACGUGCCAGCAGCCGCGGUAAUACGUAGGGGGCUAGCGUUGUCCGGAAUCACUGGGCGUAAAGGGUUCGCAGGCGGAAAUGCAAGUCAGGUGUAAAAGGCAGUAGCUUAACUACUGUAAGCAUUUGAAACUGCAUACCUUGAGAAGAGUAGAGGUAAGUGGAAUUUUUAGUGUAGCGGUGAAAUGCGUAGAUAUUAAAAAGAAUACCGGUGGCGAAGGCGACUUACUGGGCUCAUUCUGACGCUGAGGAACGAAAGCGUGGGUAGCAAACAGG
rnacentral:rRNA from 1 species